rnacentral:rRNA from 1 species
AAGGGCACCACAAGAACGCGUGGAGCAUGUGGCUUAAUUUGACUCAACGCGGGAAAUCUUACCGGGUCCGGACACACUGAGGAUUGACAGGCAAUCAUGUGAACAGCUUUUUUUUAAGAUUAUUUUUAUUUUUUAAAAAGGCGUUCUCAUAUAAAUAUGCUAGUCCUUUCAUGAUUAUGUGAUAGGUGGUGCAUGGCCGUUCUUAGUUCGUGGAGUGAUCUGUCUGCUUAAUUGCGUUUCGCAAUGGACUUAAUAACAAGUUGCGCUCUUCUUUUCUUUGUGGAUUUUUUACCUGCUUUUUGAUAUGCUUUUAGUGAGUUUUAACGUUUUUAGAAUUGUUUGAAUUUACCCCAGUUUCGGCUGCGCGCGUACUUUUGGACCUUUCUCUAAACUAUUGCUUUUAUGCGAAUCGAGGCUAUGGUAGAAGUCUGCUAUUUAUAUGGGAAAGGAUUAGUGCACAUUGAGUCCUGAAAGCAACGAACGUGACCGCAUCCUUUUGUUGCCUUCUAACUAAACCACUAUUUUUUAAUCUUUUUUUCUUUUUAACUUCGCGGUUAUCAAAGAAUUUAGGAUUUUAAAGGUUUUAACAAAGAAGGCUCUAUUCCCUAUAUUUUAAAAAUACUGGGAAUAAAACUAAAGGGACCGCUGCGACUUUUUUAAACCAGAGGAAGGUUGCGGCAAUAACAGGUCUGUGAUGCCCUUAGAUGUUCCGGGCUGCACACGUGCUACAAUGAUUAUUGCAGUAAGCAUCUCAUUUCAAAAACGCUGUUUUUCAUAGAUUUUUUAUGGCUUUCUUUUUUUAUUUUUAUAAGAGAAGUUAGCUGUGAAUGUUAAUAGUCAGUGAAUUUCAGCUUAGCCUGCUUCGAAAGUUAGCAGGUAAUCACUUGGAAGUAAUGAUUUCCCUUAAUUCAAAAUUUAUUUUUUGAUUAUGCGAGCACACAAUGCGUUGCUCUCUGUCUUGCUUGGGUAGCAAUUACGUCUACUUUUUAGCUAUACGGCAGAGAUGUUCCUUACUUUUUUUUUAAUAAAAAUACUGGGAAUUUACAACGUGUGCUUUUUGUCAAUUCAUGGUGGGGACAGACCAUUGUUAAUUAUUGGUCUCGGUCUUAACUAGGAAUGCCUUGUACGGGUCUUUGGUUCAACAAACCACCCGGAAUACGUCCCUGCCCUUUGUACACACCGCCCGUCGCUCUUACCGAUGGACUUCUCUGUGAGUUUGAGGGACUGGGUACCUUAGCUACCGCUUUAGGGGAGACCUCGGUUUUCUUUUUAGCGAUACUAUAAACACUUAUGGAAACUUAAACGAACAGUGUGGUCUAAAGGAAAAAGAAGUCGUAACAAGGCAUCGGUAGGUGAACCUGCAGAAGGAUCA